AAUACGUUCCCGGACCUUGCACACACUGCCCGUCAAGCCAUGGAAGCUGGGUGUACCUAAAGUCGGUAACCGCAAGGAGCCGCCUAGGGUAAAACUAGUAACUGGGGCU
rnacentral:rRNA from 1 species